rnacentral:rRNA from 1 species
AUUGAACGCUGGCGGCAUGCUUUACACAUGCAAGUCGAACGGUAGAGGGGGCAACCCCUUGAGAGUGGCGAACGGGUGAGUAAUGCAUCGGAACGUGCCCAGUCGUGGGGGAUAACGCAGCGAAAGCUGUGCUAAUACCGCAUACGAUCUCUGGAUGAAAGCGGGGGACCGAAAGGCCUCGCGCGAUUGGAGCGGCCGAUGUCAGAUUAGGUAGUUGGUGGGGUAAAGGCUCACCAAGCCAACGAUCUGUAGCUGGUCUGAGAGGACGACCAGCCACACUGGGACUGAGACACGGCCCAGACUCCUACGGGAGGCAGCAGUGGGGAAUUUUGGACAAUGGGCGCAAGCCUGAUCCAGCAAUGCCGCGUGCAGGAAGAAGGCCUUCGGGUUGUAAACUGCUUUUGUACGGAACGAAAAGGUCUGGGUUAAUACCCUGGGCACAUGACGGUACCGUAAGAAUAAGCACCGGCUAACUACGUGCCAGCAGCCGCGGUAACAC